GAUGAACGCUGGCGGCGUGCCUAAUACAUGCAAGUCGAGCGAACAGACGAGGAGCUUGCUCCUCUGACGUUAGCGGCGGACGGGUGAGUAACACGUGGAUAACCUACCUAUAAGACUGGGAUAACUUCGGGAAACCGGAGCUAAUACCGGAUAAUAUAUUGAACCGCAUGGUUCAAUAGUGAAAGACGGUUUUGCCGUCACUUAUAGAUGGAUCCGCGUCGCAUUAGCUAGUUGGUAAGGUCACGGCUUACCAAGGCGACGAUGCGUAGCCGACCUGAGAGGAUGAGGAGCCACACUGGGACUGAGACCAGGUCCAGAGUGAUACGGAAGGCAGCAGUAGGGAUGAGUGAGGAAGGGGCGCAAGACAGUGAAAGCCAUACCGCGUGAGUAAAGAGGGCCUUCGUGUUGGAAAGCACUGUUGUUGGGAAAGAAAAGCAGCAGGUUAAUAACCCGCUGAUCUGACGGUACCCAAAGAAUAAGCAACGGCUAAACUCGUG
rnacentral:rRNA from 1 species